rnacentral:rRNA from 1 species
AACGAACGCUGGCGGCAUGCCUAACACAUGCAAGUCGAACGAGACCUUCGGGUCUAGUGGCGCACGGGUGCGUAACGCGUGGGAACCUGCCCUUAGGUUCGGAAUAACUCCCCGAAAGGGGUGCUAAUACCGGAUAAUGUCUUCGGACCAAAGAUUUAUCGCCUUUGGAUGGGCCCGCGUUGGAUUAGCUAGUUGGUAGGGUAAAAGCCUACCAAGGCGACGAUCCAUAGCUGGUCUGAGAGGAUGAUCCGCCACACUGGGACUGAGACACGGCCCAGACUCGGACGGGAGGGAGGAGUGGGGAAUACUGGGCGAUGGGCGAAAGCCUGAUCCAGCAAUGCCGGGUGAGUGAUGAAGGGCUUAGGGUUGUAAAGCUCUUUUACCCGGGAUGAUAAUGACAGUACCGGGAGAAUAAGCUCCGGCUAACUCCGUG